rnacentral:rRNA from 1 species
CCCUGAUGUGGGGGAUAACCAUUGGAAACGAUGGCUAAUACCGCAUAAUACCUACGGGUCAAAGAGGGGGACCUUCGGGCCUCUCGCGUCAGGAUAUGCCUAGGUGGGAUUAGCUAGUUGGUGAGGUAAUGGCUCACCAAGGCGACGAUCCCUAGCUGGUCUGAGAGGAUGAUCAGCCACACUGGAACUGAGACACGGUCCAGACUCCUACGGGAGGCAGCAGUGGGGAAUAUUGCACAAUGGGCGCAAGCCUGAUGCAGCCAUGCCGCGUGUGUGAAGAAGGCCUUCGGGUUGUAAAGCACUUUCAGUCGUGAGGAAGGUAGUGUAGUUAAUAGCUGCAUUAUUUGACGUUAGCGACAGAAGAAGCACCGGCUAACUCCGUGCCAGCAGCCGCGGUAAUACGGAGGGUGCGAGCGUUAAUCGGAAUUACUGGGCGUAAAGCGCAUGCAGGUGGUUUGUUAAGUCAGAUGUGAAAGCCCGGGGCUCAACCUCGGAAUAGCAUUUGAAACUGGCAGACUAGAGUACUGUAGAGGGGGGUAGAAUUUCAGGUGUAGCGGUGAAAUGCGUAGAGAUCUGAAGGAAUACCGGUGGCGAAGGCGGC